CAAACCACAGUUUGCCUCGCUCCCUGUGAGCAAUGCUGUUGAUAUAACGACCCAGCUCAGACAGGGAAGGAUUUCUAGUGGCUGCCACUGAUUUCCUACAGGAGGGCACUGUGGAAGGAAGGAGAGGUGGUACGCAUGGGGAAAGAUCAAAGUGCUUUCAGAGAUCUGCAGUAGUAUCGCAUUCUUCUUUCGAUUACGUGAGUGCAGCUGAAGACCUGGAGCAGCAGUGAUGAGGUGCAUGCACUGCAGCUACUCCCUUCCCUAUUCUCAUAGGAAGCUCAUGCGUUGAGGUAGGUGGAGGCAUUAGGUUUUCCAAAAGUUUCUUGACUUCCGAUAUCGUUAUCAUCCGUGAGGAGGGAGAUCUGCAAAAUGGAGAGGAUGGGUUACCUGGUGUCUGCGUUGCGGCAGCGCUCUUCUGCCAGCCAAGGAUGAGUGGUCGCUCACCUCAGUGGAGCCAUUUGUUCUUCAUUAUGUGGUAUAAAACACGGGGUGUUCUGCCCUGCCAGCCUGGAGGAAGUUCUUAGUUCAUACUAGUUGGUGAUAACACCAAUCCUUAAGUUUUUGUGCUUCUGUUUACCAAGCCAUUUUUUUCAGUCUUGUCCGGGAAGUUAUUCAGCAAGUUAUUGUCAAAGGUGAUCAACAUCUAAUCUUGGAGUUGUGUCUCCAGAAAUAUCAGGCUGAUAUUAUCAAAGUGAUAUUUCAGGAAAGAAUGUCAAACUGAUGGAUUACAGGAAACUGCAGAGAAAGCUACUGUUUUACUGGAUCUUAAGGAGAUGACAGAUCCAUGAGUCCCUGUGUUCUGUCAAAGCUGCAGACACGCAUAACUGUAGCUAGAAGGGGUAGCUGCUUUACUGUUACUGUUUGUUGUCAUCAGAUAUUGGUUUAGAUAAGACGUAAAUUUAGUUCAUAUUACUCAGAAAAUCAGCAGCCGCCUUCUUCCAGGAAUAGUGACCCCCUGACAGUGGGACUGGCCCAUGUUGGGAGUGCCUCAUACCCGCCAUAGAGUCUGCCUGAUGGGAAGAAGUUCCCAGAGCUUUCUGUGCUGGUGAAAGAGGCAGCUGUGCUAAUUCUGAUACCGAGUAUUCUCUUACAAACUGAGAUGCUGCAAAACUCCUCAGAAGAGCAGAAAAGGAAGACUUACACCUCUGUCUGACACAGUUAAAAUCUCUCCCUGUGCACUUAUCAGCUUGCAUAUCUCUGUGAAACUCUGUGCUUCAGCGAGGGCUACAUCACUAGGCAACUACUGCAAAGAAACAUGAGUUCUACAGGAUUUCAGGGAAGAAUUCUUCCUCUACUUUUGUUCACUUCUGAGUUUGUUUCUUGGCACCCUCUUCCUUAAUGUGAGGUCAGCCAGAGUACUUUCACAGUUUUUCCUGUCUGUUUUGUCGUUUGUUUCUGUUUCGCAGGCUUACAGCUCCGAAGUCUUUCCAAGAGAGAAGAGAAACCAAACUGGAAGAUGAGAGCAUUGCACAGGCACCAAAUGCUGUUUCUGUUCAACCUUUGUUUCAUCGAGAAAAGUGGGUGUCUAAAAUCAAAGCACGCAUUACUUCCCAUCACUUACUUGUAAUCUGAGACUAGUGUUUUAGUGGAGUCUGCUGCCAGACUACAGAGAAAAGGAAACUUAGUGGAUCACCAGGUUUUUCAGCCUCUGAGAAAGAUAACCAACCAAGCACCAAGAGACAGGAUAGAAGCAUGAAGGUGGUAAUUAACCACAUAGCUGAUUUUGGACUGUUACCAUGCUACCAGAAAAACAUGCUGGGAGAAGCCAUCAUCCACCGUGAAUGAGUUUUCUUGUAUAUGGAAUCCACUUGUUUAAUAGGGCUCUUUUUGAGACUCAAUGAGACUCACUUUAAACAAUAACAGAAUCACAAAAUCACAGAGUUGUAGGAGUUGGAAAGGACCUCUAGAAAUCAUCGAGUCCAACCUCUUCUGCUAAAGGAGUUCCCUGCAGCAGGUCACACAGGAAAGUGUCCAGGUCGGUUUUGAAUAUCUCCAGAGAAGGAGACUCCACAACAUCUCUGGGCAGCCUGCUCCAAUGCUCUGCCACCCUCACAAUAAAGAAGUUCUUCCUCAUGUACGUAUGGAACUUCCUGUGUUCCAGUUUGUGCCUAUUUCUGUUGUCCUGUCACUGGGCUCUGCUGAAGGAGACUGGCCACAUCCACUUGACUCCUGCCCUUUAGAUAUUUAUCAACAGUGAUGAGAUCCCUCUCAGUCUUCUCCAGACGGAAUAGUCUCUCAGCCUUUCUUCAUAAGGGAGAUGCUCCAGGCCCCUAAUACUCUUUCUGGCCUUCCACUGGACUCUCUCAAGAAGAUCCCUGUCUUUCUUGAGUGAGGAGCCCAGAACUGGAUGCAGUACUCCAGAUGUGGCCUCACUGGGGCAAAGUAGCUGGGGAGGACCUCCUCCCUCAACCUGUUGUCCACACUUUUCAAUGAACCCCAACUUUUAGAGUCCAACUGGUCCCAGUAUUGUUCUGCCAAUGAGGAAAAGCUCCAGAGUGAAAAUGUUGGACUCUGAUUAUGCUUUGCUGUCAUUCAGCAGCACUCAUCCUUCCACCUCUGUCUUGAACAACUGUGUGACUGGUCUUUCCUCGCAGUAAUGAAUUAAACAGUGUAUAACCAAGUAGUUAUCAAUACAGAUUUUGUUCUCAGAGUUUCUUUGAACUUUAGUUUCAACUAGACAAUCCCUGGCACCAAAUCCAAGAAAAGAAAAACAUGAGGAAAAUAGUGAUGUAUGGGGAUUGGUUAUAUAUUCAUAAAGCCACUAAUCACAGUUUCUUUUCUCUCUCAUUUUUGCUAGGCUUUCUUUGUCUAUUUUCAGGUCUUAUCUCUAUAUGAACACUGAUAGCAGAUAAAUCAAGACAACAGCUUCCUUCAUUUUUAGGAGUUUUGUUAAAAUUGACUUUCUCCCUCUGACAUGAAUAUCAGUUUAUAUCUCAAUCAAAUCUGGAAUUGUAGUUUAGAGAGAAAAUACAUAAAAUAUGCGUAGAAGAUUUUCCUAUGUCAUCCCUCUCACAGACACUUUCUGUUACUUUUAGAUUUAUUUCAGAUUAUUGUUUACUUCGCAAUCAUUAAUAAUUUACAGAAGUAAAGGCUUUUGUUUGUUAGUGAUUUGUCAUAACUGGAAUAAUGAAAAUAAUUAUAUAUAUCUCCAGUUCUUCAGUUUUGUAAAGUUCUGCUAAACUCAAGUGUUCAAGCUGUAAUAUAUCUCUUCUACUUUGGGUCUUACCAUUGAAUGACCUGACCUUUUAAUAAAGAUUUUUGUUUCCUAUGGUGCUUGAUUUCUUUGGCUAAGUAAUAAAAAGUAUGUGACACUUAAGAGCUUCCUACUUCCCUACUCUCUCUUAUAGUAGAGUGCUUAUGUAAUGAAGAGUGAUUGCUUGCAAGUCCAGAGAAAGAAAUCCUAAGCAUAUCUGUAUCUUCCAGUUGAUGGGUAUUAAAAAAAAAAAAAAAAAAAAUAACCAAACUGCCUGUCAGCCUUGGGAAGAUAAAGAGGACAGAGCAGUGUGAAUGAAUUCAUCAGCAACAAAUGACAGCAAACUUGUCUGAUUUCCCUCUGUGACCAAGUAACAGACAUUAUGAAGAGUCAAGCAGCCGUAUCUAUCUGUCUGUCUGUGGUAUAUCUUGACUUCUGUGGUAUUUUUGAGGCUGCCUUUGACAAUUGUUACCUAGAUGUAUUUUGAUAACAUGCUAUAGUUGAAUGCACAGUAGUUGCAAAAUUCUAAAUAAUUAGACCAGAACAAAGUAAAAAUGAAAGGCUGUGCUAUUGGAGGUUAUAUAUUGAAUUGUUCCAAGUCGGGUUUUGAAUUUUUUUUUUUAACUAAUGACUCAGUUGAAGGAAAAGAAAAUAUCUAUUAAAUUUACAGACAUUAGAAAGCUGGCAGAAGUUAUAUAGGCACUAAAGGACAGGUUUUGACUUCUGUAUGAUCUUGAUAAAUUAGGUGUUUUAUAGAAAGACAGGUGAUAGUUCAAGAAGACAAGUGCUAAAUACUAAACUUUUAUAGCAAAGUGAUUGGUAAUGCAAAGACUGAAUAAGAACAACAGCAGUAUAAUUAAUCCCCUUGACAUCAGAUGAAGAUUAGUUGCAUAGGUUGUUGGAAGGGAAAAUGUCUUAUCACUGUUACUGCUUGUUCUAAAAAAAUGAUUGUUUUGCACUGGUCAUUGUAACAUAGAGUAACACUCAGCAGCAGACCCUCUCAGAGAGAACUGGGUUCUACUGUCUGCGCAGAAAGGCUGAGGUUACCUUAACUGGAGACUGGAAUCACUUAUGCAUGUUCUUGUGUUGAUAUCACAAGAAAUUUCCCUCCUUAUGAUUUCUUGCACUGCCACCGGUUAAGUUGUAAGGAGCUAAUUCUACUGCUGUCAAAGGAUUUCCU
rnacentral:lncRNA from 1 species